UGCUGGAGCGGGCUUGCUCGCGAUGCAUCGUGCGACGCGGUUUUCAGUCAGGCCGCGUUGAUACAAUCGCGAGCAAGCUCGUUCCUGCA
rnacentral:misc_RNA from 1 species